rfam:Salmo salar isolate Sally breed double haploid chromosome ssa09, whole genome shotgun sequence.
UUCCCUGUGGCUCAGCUGGUAGAGCAUGGCGUUUGCAACGCCAGCAUGGUGUGUGCAACACCAGGGUUGUGGGUUCGAUUCCCACGGGGGACC